rnacentral:rRNA from 1 species
CGCCCAGACUCCUACGGGAGGCAGCAGUGGGGGAUAUUGCACAAUGGGGGGAACCCUGAUGCAGCGACGCCGCGUGGGUGAAGGAGCGUUUCGGCGCGUAAAGCCCUAUCGGCAGGGAAGAGGAUGACGGUACCUGACCAAGAAGCCCCGGCUAACUACGUGCCAGCAGCCGCGGUAAUACGUAGGGGGCAAGCGUUAUCCGGAUUUACUGGGUGUAAAGGGGGCGCAGACGGCAAUGCAAGCCAGGAGUGAAAGGCGGGGGCUCAACCCCCGGACUGCUCUGGAAACUGUACGGCUGGAGUGUAGGAGAGGUAAGUGGAAUUCCUAGUGUAGCGGUGAAAUGCGUAGAUAUUAGGAGGAACACCAGUGGCGAAGGCGACUUUCUGGACUGUACCUGACGCUGAGGCGCGAAAGCGUGGGUAGCGAACGGGAUUAGAUACCCCUGUAGU